GUGCUUGCAAUUGUUGUCAACUGCUUAACGCCAAGAUAUGUUUGCUAAGUCUGCAGAAAAGAUUGAAGGAACUCAUCGCCCUUGAUACUCGUAAGCAGACUUUCACAUUCAUAAUAUGGGAAGAAGCUAUUAUUGAAGAUGAGGGAAAGAAACUCCUUAGGCAAUUCCAAGAAUAUCCCAUCAUCCUUGCAAGACGUAUUGGGGUGUCGAAAUACAAUGGCACAUCAUUGACAACAAGGUUUAACACAACCAUACAGAUUAAUCCACCUUAUCAACAGUGUCUGCAACUAGGUAAAUGGUAUCACAUUAGUGAGCACCUAAUUUUUGAACAUAUUUAGAUUUUUUUAUUACUUUUAGUAUUUAA